UCGAGCGGAAGAUGGGAGCUUGCUCCCUGAUGUUAGCGGCGGACGGGUGAGUAACACGUGGGUAACCUGCCUGUAAGACUGGGAUAACUCCGGGAAACCGGGGCUAAUACCGGAUGCUUGUUUGAACCGCAUGGUUCAAACAUAAAAGGUGGCUUCGGCUACCACUUACAGAUGGACCCGCGGCGCAUUAGCUAGUUGGUGAGGUAAUGGCUCACCAAGGCAACGAUGCGUAGCCGACCUGAGAGGGUGAUCGGCCACACUGGGACUGAGACACGGCCCAGACUCCUACGGGAGGCAGCAGUAGGGAAUCUUCCGCAAUGGACGAAAGUCUGACGGAGCAACGCCGCGUGAGUGAUGAAGGUUUUCGGAUCGUAAAGCUCUGUUGUUAGGGAAGAACAAGUGCCGUUCAAAUAGGGCGGCACCUUGACGGUACCUAACCAGAAAGCCACGGCUAACUACGUGCCAGCAGCCGCGGUAAUACGUAGGUGGCAAGCGUUGUCCGGAAUUAUUGGGCGUAAAGGGCUCGCAGGCGGUUUCUUAAGUCUGAUGUGAAAGCCCCCGGCUCAACCGGGGAGGGUCAUUGGAAACUGGGGAACUUG
rnacentral:rRNA from 1 species